rnacentral:rRNA from 1 species
AGAGAAUAGAUACCCAGGUAGUCCUGGCCCUAAACGAUGUCUACUAGAUCGUGGCGGCACUGACGCCGUCAUGGUCGAAGCAAAAGUGUUAAGUAGACCGCCUGGGAAGUACGGUCGCAAGGCUAAAACUCAAAGAAAUUGACGGGGCGUCACACAAGCGGUGGAGCAUGUGGUUCAAUUCGAAGCAACGCGAAGAACCUUACCUGGGCGUUGACAUGCUAGGAUUAUCUCCAUGAAAGUAGGAGUACGCGGCGCAAGCCGUGGAACUAGUACAGGUGCUGCAUGGCUGUCGUCAGCUCGUGUCGUGAGAUGUCGGGUUAAGUCCCUUAACGAGCGAAACCUUUAGCCUUAGUUGCCAUCGGGUUAUGCCGGGCACUCUAAGGGGACGU